AAUCCCAAUGAAUUGCUACCAUUCUAAUCACACAUGAUUCCAAAUACACUGAACAGGCACGAAAGCUAACAACAGUUUGAGGGAUCGUUGUUGAGUGAGUAGAUCGAUAAGCACACAACGGACGGUCCAGUAAACUAGUUCCAUAAAGUGUGUAUUUUUUUUUGUGUGUUGACUAAUUCCUUCGUGUUCGAACAGUGCUUUGUGACAUUCUUACAAAACAGUGCUGGGUUGUUUUUUUUUUUAGGUGCAGAAUGCCAUCUUUCCUCUGAUAGUUUCUAAUGGUUCUAGCACAUUCCUUACCAAUUCCGAAACGUUUCGAAGCUCCGUCUAUUAGCUUUCAAUGCAAGAAUCUUUAGUCUUGAUUAUCUGCAGCACCUGAAAGUAUCGCCUUUGAGCAACUUGAAUGCAGCGGCACCUUUAAGUUGAAGACAUUGGAAACCUUAGAUGGGUCGUCUUGUCUUACACUGGAGGUUUCAUGUACACAAGGUGGUCCGAUCAGAGGUAAAUAAUAUAUACAUGAGGAAAUAGAACAAGGAACAUGAAUUGGGGCAGAUGAAGAGGAAGCUUGAGAUGAUUACAACAACGUCUUCUGAUUCUCUGUAACUGAUUGAAUUCAUAGCAUGUUUCAUAAAUUAGCAAAAUCUGCAACUGCAGUGGAUCCAUCAUCUUCGGAUACACCACGCUUCGAAUGCGAAUCCGAGGUUUUGUAAAGUUAAUGCCAUUUGAAUCCUGUAUAUUUUAAGAUAGAAUCAUG